CAACCUCAACUCAUAUGGGACUACCCCCUGAAUUUAAGCAUAUUAAUUAGGGGAGGAAAAGAAACUAACAAGGAUUUUCUUAGUAGCGGCGAGCGAAAAGAAAUCAGUUCAGCACUAAGUCACUUUGUCUAUAUGGCAAAUGUGAGAUGCAGUGUACGGAACAUCAACAUUCUAGUAUGAGAAGUUAACGAUUUAAGUCCUUCUUAAAUGAGGCCAUUUACCCAUAGAGGGUGCCAGGCCCGUAUAACGUUAAUGAUUACUAGAUGGUGUUUCCAAAGAGUCGUGUUGCUUGAUAGUGCAGCACUAAGUGGGUGGUAAACUCCAUCUAAAACUAAAUAUAACCAUGAGACCGAUAGUAAACAAGUACCGUGAGGGAAAGUUGAAAAGAACUCUGAAUAGAGAGUUAAAUAGUACGUGAAACUGCUUAGAGGUUAAGCCCGAUGAACCUGAAUAUCCGUUAUGGAAAAUUCAUCAUUAGAAUUGUAAUAUUUUAAACAAUAUUAUAAUAAUAGUGUGCAUUUUUUCCAUAUAAGGACAUUGUAAUCUAUUAGCAUAAAUAUUUAUCAUAAAAUUAUGUCUGAUUGCUUAUUUGAAUUAUAUGCUUGGCAUUUUAACAUAAAAUAAAAGAUAUAAAUUUGAUAAAGUGCUGAUAGAUUUAUAUGAUUACAGUGCGUUAAUUUUUCGGAAUUAUAUAAUGGCAUAAUUAUCAUUGAUAUUUGUGUUUAUUAUAUGCAUUUGUAUGAUUAACAAUGCGAAAGAUUCAGGAUACCUUCGGGACCCGUCUUGAAACACGGACCAAGGAGUCUAACAUAUGUGCAAGUUAUUGGGAUAUAAACCUAAUAGCGUAAUUAACUUGACUAUUAAUGGGAUUAGUUUUUUAACUAUUUAUAGUUAAUUAACGCAAUCCCGGGGCGCUCUAUAUAGUUAUGUAUAAUAAUAUUUAUAUUAUUUAUGCCUCUAACUGGAACGUACCUUGAGCAUAUAUGCUGUGACCCGAAAGAUGGUGAACUAUACUUGAUCAGGUUGAAGUCAGGGGAAACCCUGAUGGAAGACCGAAACAGUUCUGACGUGCAAAUCGAUUGUCAGAAUUGAGUAUAGGGGCGAAAGACCAAUCGAACCAUCUAGUAGCUGGUUCCUUCCGAAGUUUCCCUCAGGAUAGCUGGUGCAUUUAACUGUUGUAUAAAAUAAUCUUAUCUGGUAAAGCGAAUGAUUAGAGGCCUUAGGGUCGAAACGAUCUUAACCUAUUCUCAAACUUUAAAUGGGUAAGAACCUUAACUUUCUUGAUAUGAAGUUUAAGGUUAUGAUAUAAUGUGCCCAGUGGGCCACUUUUGGUAAGCAGAACUGGCGCUGUGGGAUGAACCAAACGUAAUGUUACGGUGCCCAAAUUAACAACUCAUACAGAAACCAUGAAAGGCGUUGGUUGCUUAAAACAGCAGGACGGUGAUCAUGGAAGUCGAAAUCCGCUAAGGAGUGUGUAACAACUCACCUGCCGAAGCAACUAGCCCUUAAAAUGGAUGGCGCUUAAGUUGUAUACCUAUACAUUACCGCUAAAGUAGAUGGUUUAUAUUACUUGUAAUAUAAAUUUUGAAACUUUAGUGAGUAGGAAGGUACAAUGGUGUGCAUAGAAGUGUUUGGCGUAAGCCUGCAUGGAGCCGCUAUUGGUACAGAUCUUGGUGGUAGUAGCAAAUAAUCGAAUGAGACCUUGGAGGACUGAAGUGGAGAAGGGUUUCGUGUGAACAGUGGUUGAUCACGAGUUAGUCGGUCCUAAGUUCAAGGCGAAAGCCGAAAAUUUUCAAGUAAAGAAAAAUCUAAAUAUAUUUGUCAUCUAACCGAUUUUUAUACACUUGAAUAAUUUUGAACGAAAGGGAAUACGGUUCCAAUUCCGUAACCUGUUGAGUAUCCGUUUGUUAUUAAAUAUGGGCCUCGUGCUCAUCCUGGCAACAGGAACGACCAUAAAGAAGCCGUCGAGAGGUAUCGGAAGAGUUUUCUUUUCUGUUUUAUAGCCGUACUACCAUGGAAGUCUUUCGCAGAGAGAUAUGGUAGAUGGGCUAGAAGAGCAUGACAUAUACUGUUGUGUCGAUAUUUUCUCCUCGGACCUUGAAAAUUUAUGGUGGGGACACGCAAACUUCUCAACAGGCCGUACCAAUAUCCGCAGCUGGUCUCCAAGGUGAAGAGUCUCUAGUCGAUAGAAUAAUGUAGGUAAGGGAAGUCGGCAAAUUAGAUCCGUAACUUCGGGAUAAGGAUUGGCUCUGAAGAUUGAGAUAGUCGGGCUUGAUUGGGAAACAAUAACAUGGUUUAUGUGCUCGUUCUGGGUAAAUAAAGUUUCUAUCAUUUAUGGUAGUUUCUUGUUCCCCGGAUAGUUUAGUUACGUAGCCAAUUGUGGAACUUUCUUGCUAAAAUUUUUAAGAAUACUAGUUGGGCUACCAAUUAGUUCUUUUAAAUUAUAACGAUUAUCAAUUAACAAUCAAUUCAGAACUGGCACGGACUUGGGGAAUCCGAC